rnacentral:rRNA from 1 species
UACGUAGGGUGCGAGCGUUGUCCGGAAUUAUUGGGCGUAAAGAGCUUGUAGGCGGUUUGUCGCGUCUGCUGUGAAAAUCCGGGGCUCAACUCCGGACUUGCAGUGGGUACGGGCAGGCUAGAGUGUGGUAGGGGAGACUGGAAUUCCUGGUGUAGCGGUGGAAUGCGCAGAUAUCAGGAGGAACACCGAUGGCGAAGGCAGGUCUCUGGGCCACUACUGACGCUGAGGCGCGAAAGCGUGGGGAGCAAACAGG